UACGAAGGGGGCAAGCGUUGUUCGGAAUUACUGGGCGUAAAGGGCGCGUAGGCGGUCUAGUCAGUCAGGCGUGAAAGCCCCGGGCUCAACCUGGGAGGUGCGUCUGAGACGGCUAGGCUUGAGGUCGGAAGAGGGUGGUGGAAUUCCCAGUGUAGAGGUGAAAUUCGUAGAUAUUGGGAAGAACACCAGUGGCGAAGGCGGCCACCUGGUCCGCACCUGACGCUGAGGCGCGAAAGCGUGGGGAGCAAACAGG
rnacentral:rRNA from 1 species